GGAGCGCCUGAGGGAGCCCUGAGGUGAGCCCCGGUUCUUCUUCCAGCGUCCUGGGGAUCGCCUGGCUGUGAACAUACAGUGUGCUGCGUGCAGGAAAACUGCUGCUGUAAACACAACAACAGGACAGCAGGGCAGUUUUAUUGGCCUAACUAACCAGGAUGGUUGGAGUUAAAACGGCUCAGUUGUUUAUUUACACGUGUAUGCAGCAAGCAGUACAUUAGAGAGUGUAAAUGAGUAACUCACAAAAAUCACAGAAGAGUAUCUGAGCAGGACUGUCUUCCCUAAAUUACUGCUUUGUGUAAGCAUUCUGUGAAAAGUUCCUGGUUUGCCUUUUUGUUUAGGGCAUUCAGUAAUGAAUAUUAAAUAUCUGCUUACAGACCAUAAAAUGUGCCACACGUGAUGAAAAACAUGCCACAGUGCUGAGACUUUGCCCUUUUAAUGUCUUUAAUCUGAAGAUCGUAUGCUAAGAAUGCCGUUAACUGACAGUCAUCCUUAGCUGUUACGGUUGGGCAAUUCAGGCAUUUAUGGUGCCCGAUCCUGAGAUGUUAAGCGAUUUAUCGAAGGUCACAAAGACAGUGUCAGACGUGGUGACUAUAAACAUUUUAAGCUUUUGGGACAAAAGGGGUAUCUUUCUCUGUGUGCAGUACCUAGCUGAGCUCUUAUGGCAGUCAAAGUCCACCAAAUUUACUAUAGGGAAACCAAAAAUAUGCUCUAUUGAGUAAUAAUGUUAUAAUGAUAAGUCAAAUAGAGCAAACACUGCUAAAAGAAGGAAUAACUGCUUCCGUGUCUGACAAGUCACGUUCUUACAGGAACAGUCCGUGUCUCUGAAUUUUUCAUGAGUGGGAAACAGCUCUCUAGGCUGCUAGUUCAACUUUCAUGGUGAUUUAAAAAGCAAACAAAUGUUCCUGGCAAGAAAAAUUGGCACCAUACGAAAUAAAAGGAGUACUGAAAAUGAGAAAGGUACAGGAACUAUGUGAGACAGGAGUUAAAAACAAGGAUGGGCCUGGCUGGAGGGACACCAGAGGAGAAUCAGACCUGGAGAACAAGGUGCAGUGCAGCUUUCCGAAGGACAGAAUACGCAGAACCAGUGACGGCCUCUUCUCUUUCCACGAGCAGCUCUUCACCAAGCUUGUACUUGUUUUAAUAAGUCACAUCACAGGAGACAUUAUUCUACGCUCGCCACCCACACAACCCUGGGAUUUACUUUCAUUUGAGAACUCGUUAAGCGUACCAGCAGUCACCCAAAGCAACGAAUGUUCCAAGACACACAGGAUUCACACAUACAAAUCAUGAGUUUUACUGGUGGGAAGAGAACACGGUUGCUUUGAAAGGGAAUGGUCAGUAGCACUCUCCGUAACAAGACUGGCUUUAAUUUGUAGUUCUGUGACACCGUGUGCCUGGGCACGUUAAAUCUAUUUAGGUUCACCUGUUUUCUGCCCAUCUUCCAAUCCAGAUGGGCCUAAGUGGAGGAAAGAAAAACAAAAAGCAUUUGACAAUCGUGCAAGUGACCAACUUGCAGUAGAAUUCAACCCUAUGGUAGGAUGUAAAGGACCAGAUUUGACCCAUAUCUCACGCACGUGGGCAUUUUUCUGAAGUAGCUUUUAACCCACAACAGCAUUUGGUCAUGGUAACAGAUAGCUCCAAGCCAUUCUGGGGUCAGCCGACUGCAGCAAAGAACGACAUCCUCUCUCCCCAGCCCUCACAGCAGCUUACUAUGACAGACAGGAUAGCGACUUCCCUUUUUGUCUGAUGCCUUUUUUUAAACCAGCUGCUCACAGUUGUGAAGCAGCCUGAGAUGAGGCUAAUCCUGGCAGUUACCGUUCAGAGGUACCCGACUCAGCGUAACAUUUGUGCCUGUCUGUGUUACCUGGUUGUUUUCGCAUGGCCAAUCGACACACCAAGGUGAGGCAAAGGCAAAGCUUGUGCUUUCUCACUGUCUGCACUAAUAUCGGGGCUCAUUUAGAGAGCAGGAAAAGUCUACUUUAUUUUGUGUGUGAAGAGAGGGUUCUUGACACUGUUUGGUUAGGCAGCAAAUAAGAAUCCGAGAGCUCCUCUAAGACAGAAGUUCAGAGACUGCUGCUCUUCUAUUCAUGCGGUGCCUACUGGCCCCAGGAACAUGGCAGCGAGGCAGCUGAGCCAUACAGGCCUGCACGGCUGGCUGUAUUUUCAACUGAGCAGGCUUAAUAAUAUAUUUAUUAUGCAGGAACAAUAAGAUGUCUUAGAAGUCAAUGCAGUCACACUUGGUGUUUUUACAUCCUUUUAUGAUUCAGAAAGCCAGAAUGUAAGUACUUACACAUUUUUAAUAGGAAAGUAACAUAUUCUCCUAAAAGGAAAAACAGAUUUGAUUGUCAUAAAAGAUGUCUGACAGUUGAAACUUCAGGCUUCUAAGCUAGAAAAAGCCCAAAUAGACAAAUUAUACUGAAAUGUUCUUUAAAGACCAAGCAGCUGUUUUAUUAAAAUAUUAAAUUUACAUUUAAAAAAGAAAUAUUCUGAUUAUUUCAGUUAUGAUCAUAUUAUUGAAGUGACAUGAAAUUCAUGACAACGGGCUUUAUUCUGUCCAAAUUCUGUCCUCAGUUAUCUACUGGCAAUCAAUUUUGCUGUUAUUUAGGACCAUGCAAGAUCACACACACAGAAGCACAUUUGUCUGGAAAGAGAAAUCCAAGACAAUGGAUUCCAACGUGAUUCCAGUUUUCCCCAGAGUGUGGCUUUUCAACUCUCAAUUUCAAACCCAUCCAACUAUCACUGUUCCAAGAAACAGGAAAAGGAGUUCAGAAUAUACCGACCUCAUCCCAUACCACAAGUGAAUGACCUUCGAACAACUUGAAGCAGGUUGAAUUUACAUUUUACUUCAAAAAAAGGGAACGUACAUACAUGAGGGGGAAGUGGGGUGAACAACAAUUAUCCGAAACCAGGUUUCUACCAUUUUUGCCUACAGUUACCAACUGUGUUUGAAUCAGCAUGGCUGUUGCCUGCUGAUGCACAAUUUCUUGCGCUAUGAACAGGAUUGUGAAUCGAGGAAACAUUUUCAAAGUUGAGGCCCAAAUGGAAAUAGUAAGAUAUCAUACACAGUGUAGGUUUAUAGUACACAGCAUGGGUUUUUAAAUGAUGUAACGCAACAGCAGGAAGGAGAAGUAGUAGUUAACAGUUACUAACACUAGAAUAAUCAAAUUUGUAUGUUAUACAUGUACAGCAACUAACUGCUUUACAAAAAAAGCAAAAUAAUACAAUAUAUUGUCACAUGUAUUUACAGUGUAGUAAAUAUACUUUUCUGUCAAAUUUUACACAAAAAACUAUUUACAGGUGAAUAUACUGCAUUAAAAAAAAUUGUGGGACCAACACUAAAAGUGACUUUUUGUGGUAAGUUUGUUGCAUAACAGUAAGACGUGCUUCAUUACAUUUGGAAAAAUUAACCUCAGAACAAAACAAAAAGCCCUAAAACCUACAACCCAGUUAGGAAUAGAGCACUGGAAUGCUCCCAGGUGCUCAGUCCACAAUACUUAUUUGAAAUGUUUCCUGUUCUUGGAAACCUCAUGCACAUUAAAGCAGAAACAUCGGCAUAAUUAACAGGUAGGUUAUGCACUAUUCAAAUACUACUGAAUUAUUUUUAAGUCAGGGAAAAUACAAACACAAAAUGUUAAUCAUCUUUACAGUACUGUACUGUAGUUAGUGCGUAAUGGAUAGCAUGUUCUAAAACAGGGGUGUCAAACAUACAGUCCCCAUUAUGUAGUUAUAUGGUCCACAUGUUAAAAUCAGAUUUUUCUGAAAUUAAGUUUUCAUUUUAAAGUACACAGACCCCAUGGCUGCAGAGGUAAUCUUCAAACCGUGACUAAGGUAACCCGUGCAGUGGUGAGUGCCCUGUAGUCUGCAGGCUGCCUGAAACAGUGACUGGAAGGUCUGAACUCAGUCUCCAACUUCUUAGAUCAGGUUUCAAGCCUGAAGCAUCAGCAGCAGUAACUAACUGCUGAUCACUAAGGUAAAUGGAGCGACAGGAUGGGGAGCGAACUGAAGCAGGCUGGAUUGGGAAUGGAGAGUGGUGCUCACGGGAAGGAAACAGAGCAAGGUACGGAACAUUCGGAACAGGAAAAGGGAACAAAUAAAGAAGGCUAUGAAAAAGAAACCAAAAAGGCAAGGUAACAGCAAUGGCUACUACAGGAAGCAGACUUUCUAAGUGAUGAAUGAUAAGGCACUGAACAACCAGUUACUAACAAAAGUUUAAUUAUUAAUGAAAGGCCAUGUUUUCCCCCUUGACCUAAGCACAAACUUCCUAAAUACUGGUACUGGGAGAUCACUUUGCUGUGUAUCAGGGCACACACGGCCCUGAAUUAAAUCUUGGCCAUAGACUGUGGCCACCUAGAGUGGCCAUCACUGCAUUCAGCUCUGGGCCCCCCAAAAUAAGACAGACAUGGACCUCUUGGAGCGAGUCCAAACGAGGGACACGAAGAUGAUCAGAGGGUUGGAGCACCUCUCCUAUGAACACAGGCUGAGAGAGCUGAGGGUAUUCAGCCUGGAGAAGGCUCUGGGAGACCUUACAGCAGCCUUCCAGUACUUCAAGGGGGCCUACAGGAAAACUGGGGAGGGACUCUUUCUCAGGGAGUGUAGUGGUAGGACAAGGGGGAAUAGUUUUAAUCUAAAAGAGGGGAGGUUUAGAUUAGAUAUAAGGAAGAAAUUCUUCACUCUGAGGGUGGUGAGGCACUGAACAGGUUGCCCAGAGAAGCUGUGGAUGCCCCAGCUCUGGAAGUGCUCAAGGGCAGGCAGGAUGGGGCUUUGAGCAACCUGAUUUAGUGGGAGGUGUCCCUGCCCGUGGCAGGGGGUUGGAACUGGAUGUGCUUUAAAGGUCCCUUCCAACCCAAACCACUCUGAUUCCAUGACUAUAGUUACACCAAAAUUCAUCUCUCUUUACCUAAAACGUUUGACACCCCUGCUCUAAAAAGUUCAGGUCCUCUCACUGAACUGUGCAGUGAAAAAAUUAAAUGACUCCCCCACCUUCCAGGAUAUAGAACAAAUUAAGUUGUAUUGACUUGCUUUAUAAAGGUUUUUUUGUUUGUUUUGUUUUUUUCAGCCGGGACUGAGAGCUUGCACUAGUUCUAGUUCUCACACAAAAGGUAAUUUUAACCAUUGUCCAUUUUGAUUUUGCGUUACUUGUAUUUCUAAGACUGCAUUAAUUCUAAUUUAAUGACACCUUUUUUAUAUAAGCAAUGCAAAAUACUAGAAGAGUUGCAAUGCACUCAGUCCGAAUGAAACUGAUUUGGUAGUUCAGCUGGAAUUAUUUCUUUUUAAAGAAAAUUUGCUCAUAGGAGAAAACUGAAAAUUAUCUUUUCCUACCAGCAAAUUACAAGAUAUUCUUUUUUCCUCCCACCUAUGGCAAGAACAAGUCUUCAGGCUUCUACAAUUCAUUGUCUUCAUUAAAAUGGAAAGGGCUGGAAUUAGCUUGGUUCAGUAUAACCAAGAGCAAACUGACAGUGACACCGAAGGUGGCUAUUAGCAAUUUGAUGUAUGAGAUGAGAAAGGUUUUUAAAUCAGUGACUCCCCAAAUUACAAAUGCAUAGCAGCUUAAAAACAUGGCACGAGUCACUGCUCUAUUCCUAAAUUCACUUCUAGCCUCAUAAUCCCUUUCACAGAUCUGUAUCAGUUCAGUAAUCAUGUUUCUACUGCAGCUUCUACACGAUCGAGAAAAAAGAUUUGGUUAAUUGCACAAGUCUUAAUAUUUUCCAAUGUAUCUAUUUCAAGAUUGCUAAUUCUACUUUUUCCUUUUGUUUUGGCAAACUAUUUGCAUAUUAAGUUUGUGUUCAUAGUUCUUUCAGGACUGUAAACAAAUUAAAAAAAUUAAGUUGUUAUUUUAUGAAUCAAUACAAUAAAGGCAUUUUUAUUUACAUAAAUGUUACAUUGUUACUGUGUGGAUACAUGUGAAUUACGUGCUAUAUCAAUAAAAUCUGAACACUUAAUUGUACCAUUCUCUAACAAUUUAGCUGUGGAGUUUGAUUUACUGAAAGCCACUAAUAAAAUUGCACUAGAGGAUUUCCUUUUUUUAUAUACUUUUUUUUUUUUCUCCUUUAAAGCCACUUAUAAAUUGUUAAUUUCUAACAUACAACAGGGAUCUCAAACUAGGAAGUAUAGCUGUUGUUUAGCAGUAGAUAUACUUAGCCCUAAGAUGAGCACCUGGAUGACAGGCCUUUUUGUCAGAAUUUCUGUUCACCGCUGAGAUCCAACACUCCGCACGUUUUCAGUCCGUGCAGGUAGCAUCUGUAGCACCCAGUGCCACAUCUUUACAUGUCACUCAACAUAGCAGCAUAUUAUCACAGUCAUCCAUUGCUAAUACACUACUGUGCCUGACAAGUGAUACUGUGGCUUUCACAGUGAUAGCAAUUUCAGUUUUGUAUAACCCCCAAGUACGAACCCUUGCAAACUGAACCCCCUUGAAAGUUCUGCAAGACAGGUUUGACUGCAAACGUCUGUACUGAUACCAGAAAUUGCACUGCAAACAUUCAAACGUAACCUGGAUUUGACAAAGUGUCAGUUAUUUUUUAAGUUCAUGUACCUUAAGCAAACAUUACUGUUUUUAUGUCACUGCUUGGGCAGCGCAAAAGCAGCUUUGCCAAAAAACCUCCCAGAGCUGGAAGUUAAUUCAUAAAAUUUUCCCCUCCAUACCCCAAUGGUUUUUCUGCCAGGAAUUUCUUGAAGGUGCAUAUUGGUGGGAAGGGCAAAACUAAAGUAUAGGCUAAAUGGAAGAAAGAAGCAAUAAAUUUUUAACAUUGCUACAAUGACACCAUAAUAGUCAGUUUGUGAUGAUUUUCUUUCCACUAUCCAACCUUCUUUAGUGCAGUUAAAGUACAGCAAAAAAAAUUGCUUUGGAAAAAAGCCAGUUUGUCCAGUCUGGUCCAUAUACAGUCCAAGUAUGUGAAGCUAUGGUCUGGGGAAUGAAGAGACUCAUGCGGCCUCCUUGUCCUCUUUAAAUUUAUUGCUAAUUACUAGAAAUUUAAUCUAAUCAACCACUUCUGGUUAAGCUCAUUGUACUGCGGCUACUGUAAGUUUCUUUUAAGCAUGGUAAAAAAAAGUCCACAGCUAAAAAUCCUACAGGUUUGAAUUAAAACCAGAAUUAUAGUAACUUCCCCGGCUCAUAAAGCCACUACCUUGACAAGUGUGCAAACAGGAUUAAGUAUUAACACUUUCCUUCAGAGAAGAAACAAACAAGGCAUAUCACAGAAGCAAGGUAGAACCGUCUAUGGAAAAUGGCUUUCAUAUUUGGACAAGAUACUGUACUGCAGCGUUAAAGAACUCCACGCUUUCUUCGGCUACAAAGUCCGUCAGGAUCUAUAAGCGGUUCUGAAACACUGGCUUAAAUCAAAAACAGAAGAAAAAAAAGGCAUUAAAAUUCAAGCAAUGUUUCAGGAGUUGAUCAUCUGGCAACAUGGCUGACAGGAUGGGAACUUUAAAAAUUAAGUGCAGCAUCACAACUGGUGGGGGGCCCUUUGCAAGAGGCCCACGUACGUCAGUCAGUUUCAAAAAAAAAAAAACAAA